rnacentral:rRNA from 1 species
GAUGAACGCUGGCGGCGUGCCUAAUACAUGCAAGUCGAGCGAACAGACGAGGAGCUUGCGGCUCGGACGUGAGCGGCGGACGGGUGAGUAACACGAGGAACACCUACCUAUAAGACUGGGAUAAUUUCGGGAAACCGGAGCUAAUCGCGGAUAAUAUGCUGAAUCGCGUGGGGCAACAGAUAAAGACGGUCGUGCGGGCACGUAUAGAUGGAUACGGGCCGCAUUAGCUGGUUGGUAAGGUAACGGGUUACCAAGGCAACGAUGCGUAGCCGAGCUGAUAGGGUGAUCGGCCACACUGGAACUGAGACACGGUCCAGACUCCUGCGAGAGGCAGCAGUAGGGUAUCUUCCGCAAUGGGCGAAAGCCUGACGGAGCGACGCCGCGUGAGUGGAAAAGGUGUUCGGAUCGUAAAACUCUGUUAUUAGGGGAGAACAAAUUUGUAAGUAACUAUGCACGUCUUGACGGUAACUAAUCAGAAAGCCACGGCUAACUACGUG